rnacentral:tRNA from 1 species
GGUCCGUUAGCUCAGUCGGCAGAGCGCGGUGCUGAUAACGCCGAGGUCGUGAGUUCAAACCUCACACGGACUA